AGUCCUGUAGUAUAGUUUACACUAGAUUGCAAAUCUGGAGACGGAGUUUAAGGCUCUCCCGGGGCUU
rnacentral:tRNA from 1 species